rnacentral:rRNA from 2 species
GGAGGAAAAGAAACCAACUGGGAUUACCUUAGUAACGGCGAGUGAAGCGGUAAAAGCUCAAAUUUGAAAUCUGGUACUUUCAGUGCCCGAGUUGUAAUUUGUAGAAUUUGUCUUUGAUUAGGUCCUUGUCUAUGUUCCUUGGAACAGGACGUCAUAGAGGGUGAGAAUCCCGUUUGGCGAGGAUACCUUUUCUCUGUAAGACUUUUUCGAAGAGUCGAGUUGUUUGGGAAUGCAGCUCAAAGUGGGUGGUAAAUUCCAUCUAAAGCUAAAUAUUGGCGAGAGACCGAUAGCGAACAAGUACAGUGAUGGAAAGAUGAAAAGAACUUUGAAAAGAGAGUGAAAAAGUACGUGAAAUUGUUGAAAGGGAAGGGCAUUUGAUCAGACAUGGUGUUUUUUUAAUGUGCAAGUCUCUCGUGGACAUGUGCCUCUGGAAAUUAACACUGGGCCAACAUCAGUUCUGGCGGCAGGAUAAAUCAUUAAGAAUGUAGCUACUUCGGUAGUGUUAUAGCUUUUUGGAAUACUGCCAGCUGGGAUUGAGGACUGCGCUCGGCA